rnacentral:rRNA from 1 species
UACGAAGGGGGCUAGCGUUGUUCGGAAUCACUGGGCGUAAAGGGCGCGUAGGCGGCCUGAUAAGUCGGGGGUGAAAGCCUGUGGCUCAACCACAGAAUUGCCUUCGAUACUGUUAGGCUUGAGACCGGAAGAGGUAAGUGGAACUGCGAGUGUAGAGGUGAAAUUCGUAGAUAUUCGCAAGAACACCAGUGGCGAAGGCGGCUCACUGGCCCGGUACUGACGCUGAGGCACGAAAGCGUGGGGAGCAAACAGG